CGCGUAGGCGGCCAUCUUUGUCAGGCGUGAAAGCCCCGGGCUCAACCUGGGAAUUGCGCUUGGGACGGGGUGGCUUGAGUUCGGGAGAGGAGAGUGGAAUUCCCAGUGUAGAGGUGAAAUUCGUAGAUAUUGGGAAGAACACCGGUGGCGAAGGCGGCUCUCUGGACCGAUACUGACGCUGAGGCGCGAAAGCGUGGGGAGCAAACAGGAUUAGAUACCCUGGUAGUCCACGCUGUAAACGAUGUGUGCUAGACGUUGGGAAGCCUAGCCUCUCGGUGUCGCAGCUAACGCGGUAAGCACACCGCCUGGGGAGUACGGCCGCAAGGUUAAA
rnacentral:rRNA from 1 species